rnacentral:lncRNA from 1 species
UUGGACAUGGUUUUACUAAUGAUGUCUUCGGAUUUCCGUAAUGUAGGAUGUGUUGAGUGCUACAAACAAUAAAGCUGAACCGAAUGGAGUAGUCUCUACCGUAAUAAGUGUAUCUGACGUUACGGUGACAAGCUCCGGGAGCAGCUCAGGGCUUAAUACACCACGAGACAGCCAACUCGCGAGCAAUGGCACCUUACAGGAUCAUGCUAGCACGCUAGCAUCAAAAACUGUAGCGUUGGCCCCUGGAGGACAUCAACAACAACAACCACAAUACGAAUGGUCGGUAGAUUCUGAUCAGGGCUUGAGCAUCGAUGGCUCGACGAACAGUUCCAAUA